GAAAUGCGAUACCUAGUGUGAAUUGCAGAAUUCCGCGAAUCAUCGAGUCUUUGAACGCAAGUUGCGCCCGAGGCUCGUACCGAGGGCAUGUCUGUCUGAGCGUCCA
rnacentral:rRNA from 1 species